UAGAGAAUACCAAGGCGCUUGAGAGAACUCGGGUGAAGGAACUAGGCAAAAUGGUGCCGUAACUUCGGGAGAAGGCACGCUGACACGUAGGUGAAGUGAUUUACUCACGGAGCUGAAGUCAGUCGAAGAUACCAGCUGGCUGCAACUGUUUAUUAAAAACACAGCACUGUGCAAACACGAAAGUGGACGUAUACGGUGUGACGCCUGCCCGGUGCCGGAAGG
rnacentral:rRNA from 1 species